AGUUUCUCAAAGAUAGGAUAGCUAUGCUCUGGCUCUUAUGCAAAUUGGAAAUCUCAGGAUAGGCUCCUCGCGUUGGGGUUGCAACUAUGGUGAUGCUUGCUUCCCGAACCGGUAUGAAUUUAGAAAAUCAAGUUUUAAUCCUUUAAAAUGGCAAAACAGAUGGUGGUGAAUUUCAUCAAUGGUUAUUCACCUUAGACUUCCUUUGAAUGGCUCGUAAGAGAUAACUAAUGGUCUAAAGCCAAAAGUUUACCAAAUAUUGGCAACUCAAAGUCAUUCCAAGUGAUAAACUCACCUUUCAAUGGCCAUUGAAAUUGGUUCUAACGGAUUAAUGCAAAACUUGGAAUUGAAAACCUCACCUUCCAAUAGCUCGUAGGAGAUAACUAAUGGAUAGAAAUCCAAAAGCUUAUCAAGUAUUGGCCGUUGGAAGUUGUCCAAAGGAAAUAAAAACCAAACUUUGCAUUAAUGAACCAUUAAUGAAAAACGACUACCUUACCUUUCGGGUGCAAGAAAUUUCCAUGGGAUUGCAUCCAAGCCAUCACAUAACAUCCAUACUUUGAGAAACUAAAAGUUUUAGCCAAUCAUCCUCUGAGGAAAAGCCCUUAGAGACUGUUUGGCUACUAAGAAAAUAGAAAUAGUAAAGAGAAAAGAGAGGCGAGAGAGCUCUGUAUAUAUUCUAAGUGUAAAAUAUAAUAUAUCUUCUAUAUUCUAAGAGGUGAUUUCCAUCCCUUAUAUAGUCUUUACAAAAGCAAAAGCUUGUGAUUGGUUAGUUACAAUGAUAAGAAAGGAAAUUACAUCACAAAAUACAAAGGAAAAUAUCUAAAGUGGAGUUGGCAAAAGCAGAGGAAAAUUCGCAACACGCAUGGGUUAUGCGAAUUUUGAAGGUGUUAUGCGAAUUUCGCAUAACACCUUGUGUUAUGCGAAAUUUUCGCAUAACCUGGAGCAGUUGGCUUCCAAAGGCCAUAUCUUCCUCAUUUCAACUCCAAAUCAUGUACGGUUUGAAGCAUUAGAUUCUUGACUUCCAGAGCUUUGAAAUGGUAUAUAGUAUGUAAAAAAAGGACUUCGGGAAGUUCUCCAAAAGUGUGAAAGAAGACUGUAGCUGCUGUCCUCUGUUUUCCUCUUCUCCAUUGUUCUUUCCUUGCAUACUUUGAACGAAUUUGGCAAAGGGAUAUGGAGCUCCAAAGCUUGGUUCUUCAUGGAUUUGAGCUUCCAAAAGCUUUUCCAUAACUUGUCCAAGUAGCUCCUCUAUCAUUUGGCAUGCUUGAAUUGGUUCAUAAGCUGAUAAAAACAUGUAAACUUGCCACAAAAUGGUUAAAGCCAAUUACUAAGGACCUUAAUGAAUUAAUUGGGUUAAAUGAAUAUGAUUACUACUCAAAGGUGCUUAAAACCAUUAUAAUUAGGUCUACAAAAUAGCACUUUUUGGUAGUAAUCACUAGGUUAGCUAAAAGAUGGUUAUUGAUUCAAGGGCGCAAGGUGACCCUACUUUUUCAAGGUAAUAAUGGGUAGAGAAAAUGCCUCGAGCCAAUGUUCGAGUACCAGGCACUACGACGCCAAAGUAAUCCAUGCCAUACUCCUAGGAAAAGCUUCAACAAAAGGGUACCUGUACCUGAAAUCGACACAGGUGGGUAGGUAGAGAAUACCUAGGGAUGCGAGACAACUCUCUCUAAAGAACUCGACAAAAUAGCCCCGUAACUUUAGGAGAAAGGGUGUCUUCUCACAAAAGGGGUUGCAGUGACCAGGCUCGAGCAAUUGUUUACUAAAAAUAAAGGUCUCAGAAAAAUCGUAAGACCAUGUAUGGAGGCUAACGCUUGCCUAAUGCCAGAAGGUCAAGGAAGUUGGCAACCUUAUGAUAAGAGAGCUGGUGAUCGUAACUAUAACGGUCCUAAAGUAGCAAAAUUCCUUGUCGGGUAAGUUCUGACCCGCACAAAAGGCAUAACGAUCUGAGCACUGUCUCAGAGAAAGGCUCGGUGAAAUAAAGAUGUUUGUGAAGAUGAGGACUACCUGCACCUGAAUAGAAAGACCCUAUGAAGCUUCACUGUUCCCUAGGAUUGGCUUUGGGUCUUUCCUGCGCAGUUUAGGUGGAGAGCAAAAAAGGCCUCCUUUUGCUAGGAGGGGGAGGAGCCGAUCCAUUAGUGAAAUACCACUCUGGAAAAGCUAGAAUUCUAACAUUAUGUCAGGACCUACGGGCCAAAUGACAGUCUUAGGUAGAUAGAUUCUAUGAGGCAUAAGCCUCUCAAAAGGUAACGGAAGCAUGCAAAGGUUUCCUCAAGUCGAACGAAUAUUGGCCAUCGAGUGCAAAGACAGAAGGGAGCUUGACUACAAGGCCCACCCGUCGAGCAGAGACGAAAGUCAGCUUUAGUGAUUCAACGGUGCCGAGUGGAAGAGCCAUUGCUCAACGGAUAAAAGUUACUCUAGGGAUAACAAACUGAUCUUCCCUAAGAGCUCACAUCGACGGGAAGGUUUGGCACCUCGAUGUCGGUUCUUCGCUAGUUGGGGUUGUAGUAUGUUCCAAGGGUUGGGUUGUUCAUCCAUUAAAGCGAUACAUGAACUAGGUUCAGAACAUCAUCAGACAGUUCGGUCCAUAUCCGGUGUGAGCGUUAAAGCAUUGAGAGGACAUUUCCCUAGUACGAGAGGACCGAGAAGAAUGCACCUCUGGUGUACCAGUUAUCAUGCCCACAAUAAAAGCUAGGUAGCCAAGUGUGGAACAGAUAACUGUUGAAAUCACCUAAGUAGUAAGCCCGCCCUAAGAUGAGUGUUUUCUUAUUCUGACUUCCUUAAAGCCACCGGUAACACAGUCGAGACAGCGAUGGGUUCUCUGCCCCAAUGGGGAUGGAGCGACAAGUUUUGAGAAUUCAAGAGAAGGUCACGGCGAGACAAGUCAUUUAUCAUUAUGAUAGGUGUCCAGUGGAAAUGCAGUGAUGUAUGCAGUUGAGGCAUCCUAAUAGACCGGUAGACUUGAAC
rnacentral:rRNA from 1 species